rnacentral:rRNA from 1 species
GAUGAACGCUGGCGGCGUGCCUAAUACAUGCAAGUCGAGCGAACAGACGAGGAGCUUGCUCCUCUGACGUUAGCGGCGGACAGGUGAGUAACACGUGGAUAACCUACCUAUAAGACUGGUAUAACUUCGGGAAACCGGAGCUAAUACCGGAUAAUAUAUUGAACCGCAUGGUUCAAUAGUGAAAGACGGUUUUGCUGUCACUUAUAGAUGGAUCCGCGCCGCAUUAGCUAGUUGGUAAGGUAACGGCUUACCAAGGCAACGAUGCGUAGCCGACCUGAGAGGGUGAUCGGCCACACUGGAACUGAGACACGGUCCAGACUCCUACGGGAGGCAGCAGUAGGGAAUCUUCCGCAAUGGGCGAAAGCCUGACGGAGCAACGCCGCGUGAGUGAUGAAGGUCUUCGGAUCGUAAAACUCUGUUAUUAGGGAAGAACAAAUGUGUAAGUAACUAUGCACGUCUUGACGGUACCUAAUCAGAAAGCCACGGCUAACUACGUG